UCACAAUCGUAUGUCUGCUUUACCAGUC
rnacentral:piRNA from 1 species